rnacentral:rRNA from 1 species
UACAUAGGUCUCAAGCGUUGUUCGGAUUCAUUGGGCGUAAAGGGUGCGUAGGCGGCGCGGUAAGUCGGGUGUGAAAUCUCGGAGCUUAACUGCGAAACUGCAUUCGAUACUGCCGUGCUUGAGGACUGGAGAGGGGACUGGAAUUUACGGUGUAGCGGUGAAAUGCGUAGAUAUCGUAAGGAAGACCAGUGGCGAAGGCGGGUCUCUGGACAGUUCCUGACGCUGAGGCACGAAGGUCAGGGGAGCAAACGGG